ACCAAAAUCUAGCGUAAAACCCUAAUCCCAAUCGUUCAACCUUCAAAUAAACCUGGAAACAAAAUCCAACAUUCUUCGAUUCCAUUAUCGUCUAAACCUAGACUUGUGAGAUUUAACUCCUUCUCCUCCAAAUCGAAUCGUAACCUUAGACCCUCAUUCAUCAUUGGAGGCGAAGAACGAGCAAGUUGCAGAGUUUUGGUGUGCGAAGUCUAAUCGAGGUAGCAAAUUCAAUUCAAGCAACACAAUCUCCAUUUCUCACUCUCUCGUAGCUUAAAAUUGGAGGGAACAAGCGAAAAGAAAAGCCGAAGCGCAUGGCGGUUCCGGCCAAUCCAGUCGUCGAAGAAGAAGAAAAGCACGAAGGUCCCACACAUCAUCCUACUACACCGUCACGCGAGUGAUAAGCCUGUUGGAUUGGGGGUUAGGUCAAGACGUUACACUUUGUUGGCGGAAGAUGGGGUUGUUAAGCUUUUCAAUUUGGAAGAAGGUGGUGCUCUUACUUUCAGUGGUGCUGAUGAUAUCCUUGAAGUUCUCUGAAAUUUUUGGGUUGUAACGUUCUUCGCCUUGCAAGUGAAAUACGUGGAGAAGUUCACGUCCAUGAUGAGGUCUUGCACGCUACAACUCUGCAGCUACCUGAGGUAAAUGAAGCUAAUUUAUUUCUCGAUAUUGUUAGAGCCUUUACUUAAUGAGAGACUUAAAGUGUGUUCUGUUUUGGUUGUUGAUCAUAUAUUCGAACACGAUCGUUGUCAUCUG